rnacentral:rRNA from 1 species
GACGAACGCUGGCGGCGUGCCUAAUACAUGCAAGUCGAGCGAGCGGAACCAACAGAUUUACUUCGGUAAUGACGUUGGGAAAGCGAGCGGCGGAUGGGUGAGUAACACGUGGGGAACCUGCCCCUAAGUCUGGGAUACCUUUUGGAAACAGGUGCUAAUACCGGAUAAUAAAGCAGAUCGCAUGAUCAGCUUUUGAAAGGCGGCGUAAGCUGUCGCUAAGGGAUGGCCCCGCGGUGCAUUAGCUAGUUGGUAAGGUAACGGCUUACCAAGGCGACGAUGCAUAGCCGAGUUGAGAGACUGAUCGGCCACAUUGGGACUGAGACACGGCCCAAACUCCUACGGGAGGCAGCAGUAGGGAAUCUUCCACAAUGGAGGAAACUCUGAUGCAGCGAUGCCGCGUGAGUGAAGAAGGCC